rnacentral:lncRNA from 1 species
UCGGUUACAAAAUGGUGUAUUAAUUCUUGAGAAUUUCUUUAUCACGACCUUGAACUCUGCCAGUAGCAAUUCUUGAGAAUUUCUUUAUCACGACCUUGAACUCUGCCAGUAGCAAACCAGGUAAGCACCCGAGCAGCUCUUGGAGGAUUACUAGAUAAUUACGUUUACCCUAUCUGGGAUACUAUAGGUCGACAGAACUCCUAAAGCACCACUCCUAAGUGAGUGCUACGAUUUUACUAGUGGAAAAUGCACUCCUUUUUGUAGAUGACGAUAAGCUCUAAGAAAUAUUCUAUACCGACUGCACUACCUUUGCGUGCAUCAUCGAUGACAAGAUCAGCAAGAAAUUAUUCCAACAUUUGAGCAAUAAUUUUAACAUCUAGCUUUCCAUUUGGCAAGGAUCGAGCAUUUAAUUCAUAGAGCUCAUGAUUUGGACGAUUGAUCUCAUCUCACGGAUCACUAAAUUAACAGUUGAAGAGGUGCAUGAUUAACCAACAAUCCGAAGUGCAAAUGUUUUGAACAAAUGGUCAUAUAAUUAUAAAUUGGGGAGAAGCUAGCUGCGCUAGCUAGCUUCUUCUCUGUGAUGAUAUCCUAGUCAAUUGCCAUUAAACCCUCGUUGUUGUCAAAGGAUGGAAAGCAAGAGUGCUAAGCUAGUAGGGGUUCAUUUUUAGCACCAUUGGGCCAAAACGAGUAGUGAGAUUAGCUUUGAUAUCACUGAAAAAUGUUGGGUUGAAGUUAUAAUUUUGGGAUCAUUGACCUACAGCAAAAACUACAAUAUAUAUGGUAUUGCCCCAUUUGCUUUACUGAUGUGAAUCAUCAUAAUAAUGAUAUGCUUUAGAAGAAAAAGAAAAAAAAAGAGCACCCAUUAGUCAUAUUUCAACUCAAAACUUGUUGAGUUUUAUCCCACGUUGGUUGUGGAAAUAUUUAUUAAGGGCUGGUGAAAGGUUUGUGAGUGAGUGUAAAGGAAAUCCCCACCUUACAAGUUAGCUUUUGAAGCGGAGAUAGGCUCAAGAACACCGAACAAUUGGCAUCUGAGCUGAUUUGCCGACAAGUUUGGACCCUACAAUCAAGGCGAGUAAUGGAUUAUCGCAGCUCCGACUCUUUUUUUCAGGGGAAAAUAGGCUCGAGACCACCUAACAAAACUUUCUUUACAUUUUUUUCAAUCUAGCAUGACUUGCCCAACCAAGUUACAGCAGAAAACAAGGGGAAAAAAUGAUACGAACUUUGAACUUUAGGAUCACCAAAACAAUUCACGAAGCAUUGAUGAACUCUUCCACUACUGGUCUCCCGACUACCAGGAAGCACUCUAAUAAUAACAUUACUCUGUGAAUUUAUGCUAUAAGAUAUUGAUGAAAA